rnacentral:rRNA from 1 species
CCUAUGGGGUGCAGCAGUGGGGAAUAUUGGACAAUGGGCGAAAGCCUGAUCCAGCCAUGCCGCGUGUGUGAAGAAGGCCUUCGGGUUGUAAAGCACUUUCAGUGGGGAAGAAAGCCUUGGGGCUAAUACCCUCGAGGAAGGACAUCACCCACAGAAGAAGCACCGGCUAACUCCGUGCCAGCAGCCGCGGUAAUACGGAGGGUGCGAGCGUUAAUCGGAAUUACUGGGCGUAAAGCGCGCGUAGGCGGUCUGAUAAGCCGGUUGUGAAAGCCCCGGGCUCAACCUGGGAACGGCAUCCGGAACUGUCAGGCUAGAGUGCAGGAGAGGAAGGUAGAAUUCCCGGUGUAGCGGUGAAAUGCGUAGAGAUCGGGAGGAAUACCAGUGGCGAAGGCGGCCUUCUGGACUGACACUGACGCUGAGGUGCGAAAGCGUGGGUAGCAAACAGGAUUAGAUACCCUAGUAGUC